CCUGAACUCCCCCAAAAAUAAGUUAGUACUAAAAUUUGGGUAUGAAGUAAGUUUGCCCACCAACAUCAAGACAAAAACAACAGCUGAGACCUGGACUAAAUAAUUGUGGCUGCUGUCAGCUAAAGGCACUUGAUGCUUUGCCAGCAUAAUGGCUCUAAGAGCGCUAUGGGAGAUGUAGUCCACCAUAUCUGGAGUGCUGUAGGUUACCUUCCCCUGGACUACAGUAUUUAGCUUCAGUGUAUAAAUAAACCAAACAAAAAUGUUAC